rnacentral:rRNA from 1 species
AAUUGGAGGGCAAGUCUGGUGCCAGCAGCCGCGGUAAUUCCAGCUCCAAUAGCGUAUAUUAAAGUUGUUGCAGUUAAAAAGCUCGUAGUUGAAUUUCGGGAUCAAUAUUUCGGUCAUGCCGUUGGUAUGCACUGUUAUCAUUGAUUUCUCACCUUCUAAAGAACCGUGAUGCCAUUAAUUUGGUGUUACGGGGAAUUAGGACUGUUACCUUGAAAAAAUUAGAGUGUUUAAAGCAGGCUCACGCUUGAAUACAUUAGCAUGGAAUAAUGAAAUAGGACAUCCGAUUCUAUUUUGUUGGUUUCUAGGAUCGAUGUAAUGAUUAAUAGGGAUAGUUGGGGGCAUUAGUAUUCAAUUGUCAGAGGUGAAAUUCUUGGAUUUAUUGAAGACUAACUACUGCGAAAGCAUUUGCCAAGGAUGUUUUCAUUAAUCAAGAACGAAAGUUAGGGGAUCGAAGACGAUCAGAUACCGUCGUAGUCUUAACCAUAAACUAUGCCGACUAGGGAUCGGAUGAUGUUAAUUUUUUAAUGACUCAUUCGGCGCCUUACGGGAAACCAAAGUGU